GUUCCCAAAAAAAAUAUUCCCCGAGACUUCAGAUAUACAUGAAGCGGCAACGAAGUAUAAUAAUUGUCAAAGUAGAUAAUCUGAUUUUUGACAAGUUUGCGGGACAAUCGAACAACUACAUUUGCUGCCGCAACAAGAUCUAGUGAGCCAGAUUGAACAACGUUGUCACCUGCUCCACAAUAUAUCUCGAAUAUAUAGCAAAAGCCAGAAGAGUCACAAUAAUUGAAGAAUUUCACUGCCCAUUUGGGUGGUUUGUCUGAAAAGCGUUGGCGCAUCGGAACUAGUUGAAACUUGUCUUUGAAAUGAUUCACGAUUUGUAUGAAGGAUCGUGAUAAGCGGUGCUUUUGGGUCGAUAGUCCAAGCAGAUCCACAUUCUGCUAUUACGCAGUAUGAGCAGUAUUAUGCUCAGCAGGCGCUUUACGUUUUCGUUUCUGUGCUUGAGGUGAAUUGGACGCAAUCGAAAUUGAGAGUGACAACAAUUUUGCAAAAGGAGUGUAGGGCUUCCACUUGAAGUUACACAAAUCUCUCUAGCCGACAUAGAAUCUGACACUUUUUCAAUCGCUUCUUCAUCUUCCUCAUGGACAGGAAGUGCUGCCUCGUAAACAUCAUUAGUCAAAUCGUCCUCUAAUUCUUCUUCCCCAACCGUAUCAAUGUCAAAAUCUAUAGAAUUUAAUAAUUUUCCAAUCUCCACGUCGGAAAGAGCUGAUAGCUUAUUCACUUAUCGUCGUUCCAUGUCUACUAAAGCAAUUAUUUGUACUUAAAUAUGUCAGGGGUUGUUUCCCUUUUAAACUUA